rnacentral:misc_RNA from 1 species
AGAGGAAGUAAAAGUCGUAACAAGGUUUCCGUAGGUGAACCUGCGGAAGGAUCAUUAAUGAUUUGAGAGCCGUUCGCUCUGUUGUGAGGGAAUGGUGAAGGAUGAUGACCUAAACCCCUUGCGGAAUAGGCAUAUGUACGUUCGUAUGUAUGUAGUGAGUAAGUACGUAUCGCGUUUAACUGAGUUAGUUACAGUUAGGCGCGUGUCGCCGACGAACAGUAUGUCGGUUUGACAAUUUCCAUGCCAAGUGAGUGUUAUGGAGUGAGAGAAUUUGCAAGACUCAAUAUGGAGGAUCACUUAGUCCUGAAAGCGAUGAAAAACGUAGUAAUUUGUGGAAACCGAUGUGAGUUGUGAAAUUUUGUGAGCAUUGAUUUUUUGAAUGAAAAUUUCAGUAUAGAUGCUAAAGUAUCUAUGCUACAUUUGUUUCAGUAUACAAACAAGCAAUACGUAAUUACUAUUGCUGAAACGCAUUAGUAGAAGUUUUCACGGAUCACAGGAGUGGUGUAACAAAAUUUAAUGAUUUAACGUGUAUCUGAAAUCAAGUGAGAGCACCCCCUGAAUUUAAGCAUAU